rnacentral:rRNA from 1 species
UACGGAGGGUGCGAGCGUUGUCCGGAUUUACUGGGCUUAAAGCGUGCGCAGGCGGCCCUGUAAGUCAGAGGGGAAAUUCUUGAGCUUAACUGAAGGAUUGCCAUUGAUACUGUAGGGCUUGAGUACAGAUGAGGUAGGCGGAAUUGAUGGUGUAGCGGUGAAAUGCAUAGAUACCAUCAAGAACACCGAUUGCGAAGGCAGCUUACUAAGCUGUAACUGACGCUGAUGCACGAAAGCGUGGGGAUCGAACAGG